GAUGGAUUUUUAUGUUGUCUGCAAAACCACUAUGCUUUAGAGUGUUCGAGCCGGUCAGUCAUCCAAAAGCUCUUCUCUGCGAUUCCCUUUUAGCUUCAUCAAAAGCUCAGAGAAAAGACCGUACAGAAUAAAAUGGCAGACCUAACAGUCGGGCACGGGCCUGCAGUUUUUUCAGGACCUUCUGGAAUAAAGCUCUUCCACUACUAUAAAAAGAGAGAUCCAUCAUUUGUCGGCCAUACACGUUUCUCACAAGAAAGAACCACCAAUGCCUUGUAUCUUUUGCGUGGUGCACCAACCACCCCUCACCACCCCUCUAAGGAGCAAUGGCUGGGAUCGAUCGGCUGGAAUGUGUGGUCAUACAAUGACUGGAGACUGCUCAAGAGUAACAACCAGAUCAAAAUGGGCCCGUUUCGAAAUGACGUAGAGAUACGAACAUUAAACUAUUAUGGCGUUCAUUAAUCAUUUAAAUUAAUUUUUUUCUAUUAGAAAAGUUUGAUAACUUGGCGUUCAUUACUGACUCACGGCACAACACAUACUCAAUCUCGUACGUGCUCGAGCAUGCGCAGUUAAAAAUAAGGGCUCUGGGUAUGAGAAUGAAUACAGCACCAUUAGCACCAAUUGCCUUACUAUUCUCAUGAGGAAAUAGAAAUUUAAAUAACAAAGAACAUUCGCAAACCGACUAGAGUCAACAGUGACGCCAUCAGGCAAACGUCCUUUUGGUCGAUGUUUUCGGGGACAAACAUUAGAAAAGUUACAAAACUAAGACAAACCUUAUGCGUUAAUACUGAGACUUAGAUAGAAGUAUCUCUUAAUCUUCAAGAAAUGACUUUAUAUCCUCUGCACUUUCGUUGCUGACUUUGGAAUGGAGAGGCAUGUGAGCCCGCGAUUUUAGCCACAACCGCUGCGGACUAGUCAGUCCAGCCCAGCGAGGAUAGAGGUAACACCGAAACAACGUGUGUUCAUUCCGGUGUCAUAUCUUUACUUUCAUUACUGUGUGCAUUUUACUCGUUACUGGUAUAUAUUUUGGCUCGUGUCUUUCACUCCCAUAGCUAGGGUACUGAUGUAUCACUGUAAGACAUGCCCAAUGUAAAUAUGUAAGACGUUUUAAGUUUUUCAUUUGAAAUAAAUAUACAUUCCACAAUUCUA